rnacentral:rRNA from 1 species
UUUCCAGACUCCUACGGGAGGCAGCAGUGGGGAAUAUUGGGCAAUGGGCGCAAGCCUGACCCAGCAACGCCGCGUGAAGGAAGAAGGCUUUCGGGUUGUAAACUUCUUUUAAGAGGGAAGAGUAGAAGACGGUACCUCUUGAAUAAGCCACGGCUAACUACGUGCCAGCAGCCGCGGUAAUACGUAGGUGGCAAGCGUUGUCCGGAUUUACUGGGUGUAAAGGGCGUGUAGCCGGGCCGGCAAGUCAGAUGUGAAAUCCCAAGGCUCAACCUUGGAACUGCAUUUGAAACUGUCAAACUAGAGUACGGGAGAGGUAAGAGGAAUUCCUAGUGUAGCGGUGAAAUGCGUAGAUAUUAGGAGGAACACCAGUGGCGAAGGCGUCUUACUGGACCGAAACUGACGUUGAGGCUCGAAAGCGUGGGGAGCAAACAGGAUUAGAUACCCGAGUAUA